UACGUAGGGUGCGAGCGUUAAUCGGAAUUACUGGGCGUAAAGGGUGCGCAGGCGGCCGAGCAAGUCGAGUGUGAAAGCCCCGAGCUUAACUUGGGAACUGCGCUCGAAACUACUUGGCUAGAGUGUGGCAGAGGGAGGUGGAAUUCCACGUGUAGCGGUGAAAUGCGUAGAGAUGUGGAGGAACACCGAUGGCGAAGGCAGCCUCCUGGGCCAACACUGACGCUCAUGCACGAAAGCGCGGGGAGCAAACAGG
rnacentral:rRNA from 1 species